AAUAGAUACCCGGGUAGUCCACGCCGUAAACGAUGAGUGCUAAGUGUUAGAGGGUUUCCGCCCUUUAGUACUGCAGCUAACGCAUUAAGCACUCCGCCUGGGGAGUACGGUCGCAAGACUGAAACUCAAAGGAAUUGACGGGGGCCCGCACAAGCGGUGGAGCAUGUGGUUUAAUUCGAAGCAACGCGAAGAACCUUACCAGGUCUUGACAUCCUCUGACAACUCUAGAGAUAGAGUGUUCCCCUUCGGGGGACAGAGUGACAGGUGGUGCAUGGUUGUCGUCAGCUCGUGUCGUGAGAUGUUGGGUUAAGUCCCGCAACGAGCGCAACCCUUGAUCUUAGUUGCCAGCAUUUAGUUGGGCACUCUAAGGUGACUGCCGGUGACAAACCGGAGGAAGUGGGGAUGACGUCAAAUCAUCAUGCCCCUUAUGACCUGGGCUACACACGUGCUACAAUGGAUGGUACAAAGGGCUGCAAGACCGCGAGGUCAAGCCAAUCCCAUAAAACCAUUCUCAGUUCGGA
rnacentral:rRNA from 1 species